rfam:Mycobacterium litorale strain F4, complete genome.
AGCUCGACGGGAUCGCAGUUGCGGGUGACCACCAGGUAGUCGCGGAUCGAGAUACCGUGCCGGUUCUC